ACUGUGAUGGGCAGCCCCACCAGAGCCCCACAGUCACCAAAUGGAAGACUGCCGGACAGGUGACAAGCUGUUUCUACAGCAGCUGCCAGUCCCCUGGCCUGGCCGUUUAACACGCGGCCGAGUGAGAGGCCGGGACACUGCAGGAGCGGUCCCUGAAGGGGAAGCAGUGGAGAAACGUCCGAUUUUGUCUGUUCAGCGAGAACUGUUGAAAGUGGUGUGUUCCAAAGCCUCGCCGGAGUGGCCUGGGCCCUUGGAAGAAGCCGGUGCGGGGGGGCUGAUGGAGCGCCGUUCCCGGGGCAGCUCCUGUCUUGAGAGAGACUUGGCAAAACCGUGGUUUCUCCGGGAGGAACCGCCCUCUUCCUCCGAAGGCGGAGAAUGGAGAGAUUACAAAUCAUUAAAAGUCCAUCCGUCCCUCUGUCACCGGGUUCCAUGGCUACGGCUGCAGAAAAGACUGGAGAUUUCAGAGGCGGGUGACAGUUUGGCCCUGGCACCAUUGUCUACCUGCACGGCGGUGACAAUGCAGGAUGGGGCUGAGGAUGGUCCUGCUGAUGGUGCUGGCAUCCUGGGGUGGUUUCUCGGGCCUGGGGCCUCCCUUGACGGAGCUCCUCUUCUGAGAGCUGCCAGGAAGGUGACAACGCAUUGGGUUGGCCAAGAAGUUCAUUAGUUGUUUUUGUACGAUGGCUCCAGGAGCGCCUCGUUGUCUUUAACUUCAUUCGAAACAGUUUUGUUAGAUAGUGUGGUAACAGCUGUCACGUCAGCGUGCAUUUAAACAAACUUCUCAAAAUUGGUAAAUUUUUGUGCAGCCGUUUGAAUAUUGAAAAUGGAAGGAAAUAUGCAAUGUUAGGCUUUAUUAUUUCAAGAAAGGUCAAAACACAAUUGAAAUGCAAAAACAAAGACCUGUACGGUGUAUGGAGAAGCUGCUGUGACCGAUUGAACAUAUCAAAGGUGGGUUGUGAAGUUUCCUGGUACCGUUGACAUUGUGGCCAAAUAACUCUCUGCUGUGAGGCCGUCUGAUGCACUGGAAGACGGUUAGCAGCGCCCCCGGCCUCUGCCCAUCAGACGCCAAUAGCAGGAGACAGCCGACGUAUU